AAAGCGCGUGUAGGCGGCAGGGUAUGUCGGAUGUGAAAUCCCGUGGCUCAACCACGGAAGUGCACCCGAAACUACCCAGCUUGAGUCUCGGAGAGGAAGGCGGAAUGCUUGGUGUAGAGGUGAAAUUCGUAGAUAUCAAGCGGAACACCGGUGGCGAAGGCGGCCUUCUGGACGAUGACUGACGCUGAGACGCGAAAGCGUGGGGAGCAAACAGGAUUAGAUACCCUGGU
rnacentral:rRNA from 1 species